rnacentral:lncRNA from 1 species
AGUUGCUUGACUUGACCUUAGGCAGUAUGAGGUCAAGAAAUAUUAAUAAAAUGCUUUCUUAACUGUUUAUUUCUGCUUUUUUUUAUAUAUCCUUGUUGUGACGUGACAGAGCAUUUGAGGUCAACUGCCAAGCUAUCAGUGGAGAUGGAGUAAAGCACCUUUAUCUAAGCCUUUGCUAACACGGUGCUCAGCCGUGACUCAGAGAGGGUGUAAAACACUCGUGCAGACUAAGAUUGUAGAUCUUCGCCCACAUCCACUCUUCUUGUGACAUCCUGCAGAUCACAAGGCCUCCCAGCUCUUAUGCCUUCAGGCUGACUUGAA